rnacentral:rRNA from 1 species
CCUACGGGAGGCUGCAGUGGGGAAUAUUGGACAAUGGGGGCAACCCUGAUCCAGCCAUGCUGCGUGUGUGAAGAAGGCCCUCGGGUUGUAAAGCACUUUCAGUGAGGAAGAACGCCUGGUGGUUAAUACCCAUCAGGAAAGACAUCACUCACAGAAGAAGCACCGGCUAACUCCGUGCCAGCAGCCGCGGUAAUACGGAGGGUGCGAGCGUUAAUCGGAAUUACUGGGCGUAAAGCGCGCGUAGGUGGCUUGAUAAGCCGGUUGUGAAAGCCCCGGGCUCAACCUGGGAACGGCAUCCGGAACUGUCAAGCUAGAGUGCAGGAGAGGAAGGUAGAAUUCCCGGUGUAGCGGUGAAAUGCGUAGAGAUCGGGAGGAAUACCAGUGGCGAAGGCGGCCUUCUGGACUGACACUGACACUGAGGUGCGAAAGCGUGGGUAGCAAACAGGAUUAGAUACCCCAGUAGUC